GACCUGCGGAAGGAUCAUUAUUGAAAAUCUAACUGGYGCAGUUCAGUGCUGACUUCUUAACUGGAGUAUGUGCACGUUCUGUGUCGGUUGUUAUUCAUCCACCUGUGCACUUUUUGUAGAAGCUUUUGUUAGGUUGGCUUGAAUGGGUUCUUAGUUGAACUUGUUUAGUUGACUUGRUAAGACUUCUAUGUCUUUACAAACCAUUGAAGUAUGUUCAGAAUGUCUUUUAUUGGGACUUAACUGGCCCUUUAAACUUUAUACAACUUUCAGCAACGGAUCUCUUGGCUCUCCCAUCGAUGAAGAACGCAGCGAAAUGCGAUAAGUAAUGUGAAUUGCAGAAUUCAGUGAAUCAUCGAAUCUUUGAACGCACCUUGCACCCUCUGGUAUUCCGGAGGGUAUGCCUGUUUGAGUGUCAUUAAAUUCUCAACUUCAAAAGUUUUUAUUAACUUAUUGAAGCUUGGAUGUGGGGGUUGCUGGCAUCUUAGAUGUUCGGCUCCUCUUAAAUGCAUUAGUGGAACCCGUUUUGUUGGGCCACCUUGGUGUGAUAAUUAUCUACGCUUUGGUUGGUUUGACUUUCAGGUAAAGCUCUUAACUGAGGUUUAUUCUGGUUGGGAUACUGCAACUAGCUUGCUGUAUCUGAAGGGAUUUUCUGCUYUCUAACCGUCUUUCGGACAAUUUAUUUGACUAUUUGACCUCAAAUCAGGUAGGACUACCCGCUGAACUUAAGCAUAUCAAUAAGCGGAGGAAAAGAAACUAACAAGGAUUCCCCUAGUAACUGCGAGUGAAGAGGGAAAAGCUCAAAUUUAAAAUCUGGCAGUCUUUGAUUGUCCGAGUUGUAAUUUAGAGAAGUGUUACCCGUGUUGGCCCGUGUACAAGUCUCCUGGAAUGGAGCGUCAUAGAGGGUGAGAAUCCCGUCUUUGACACGGACUACCAAUGCUUUGUGGUGCGCUCUCGAAGAGUCGAGUUGUUUGGGAAUGCAGCUCUAAAUGGGUGGUAAAUUCCAUCUAAAGCUAAAUAUUGGGGAGAGACCGAUAGCGAACAAGUACCGUGAGGGAAAGAUGAAAAGAACUUUGGAAAGAGAGUUAAACAGUACGUGAAAUUGCUGAAAGGGAAACGCUUGAAGUCAGUCGCGUUAGUCGGGGAUCAGCCUUCCUUCUGGUUGGUGUACUUCCUGAUUGACGGGUCAGCAUCAGUUUUGACCGGUGGAUAAGAGCUUGAGGAAUGUGGCAUCUUCGGGUGUGUUAUAGCCUCUUGUUGUAUACAUCGGUUGGGACUGAGGAACUCAGUACGCCGCAAGGCCGGGUUUUUAACCACGUUCGUACUUAGGAUGC
rnacentral:rRNA from 1 species